GACGGAGGAUGCAAGCGUUAUCCGGAAUGAUUGGGCGUAAAGCGUCCGCAGGUGGCAGUUCAAGUCUGCUGUCAAAGACCGGGGCUUAACUUCGGAAAGGCAGUGGAAACUGAACAGCUAGAGUAUGGUAGGGGCAGAGGGAAUUCCCGGUGUAGCGGUGAAAUGCGUAGAGCUCGGGAAGAACAUCGGUGGCGAAGGCGGCCUGCUGGGCAGUUGCUGACACUGAGGCGCGACAGCGUGGGGAGCAAACAGG
rnacentral:rRNA from 1 species